AUGUACGAGGCUCCGUCGGCGCAGGAGAUGUCCUACAUGGACCACGUGCAGAGGCGCCACGAGGAGAAGGGCUGCAUCUACGCAUGCGUGUUCACGGCGCUGUGCUGCUUCUGCUGCUACGAGACCUGCGAGUGCUGCCUCGACUGCCUCUGCUGCUGCUGCAACUAA
rnacentral:rRNA from 1 species